GAUCCUGGCUCAGGAUGAACGCUAGCUACAGGCUUAACACAUGCAAGUCGAGGGGAAACGACAUCGAAAGCUUGCUUUUGAUGGGCGUCGACCGGCUCACGGGUGAGUAACGCGUAUCCAACCUGCCCAUCACUUGGGAAUAACCUUGCGAAAGUAAGACUAAUGCCCAAUGAUAUCCCACGAAGGCAUCCGAAUGGGGUUAAAGAUUUAUCGGUGAUGGAUGGGGAUGCGUCUGAUUAG
rnacentral:rRNA from 1 species